UACGUAGGUGGCAAGCGUUACUCGGAAUCACUAGGCGUAAAGCGCAGGUAGGAGGUUUAGUAAGUCUGUUGUGAAAGCUCCCGGCUCAACUGGGAGAGGUCUUUGCAUACUGGCAAACUCGAGGGAGGCAGAGGAAAGUGGAAUUCCCGGUGUAGUGGUGAUAUGCGUAGAUAUCGGGAGGAACACCUGUGGCGAAGGCGGCUUUCUGGGCCUUACCUGACGCUGAGACGCGAAAGCGUGGGGAGCGAACCGG
rnacentral:rRNA from 1 species